GGUCCUGUGGCCGAGUGGCUUAGGCAAUGGUCUGCAAAACCAUCUACAGCAGUUCGAAUCUGCUCGGGACCUCUA
rnacentral:tRNA from 1 species